AUGGCCGUCGAGAAGAUGCACUUGUCCAUGCCGUUGCCCGCCGGCUUGGAGGGUUUCCCCUUCACCACGUUCCAGGCGGAGCUGGAGGCCUUCACCGUCAAGUUGAGGGCGGAGGCGAAGAAGGCCAAGGCCAAGCCGGAGGUCAAGGAGGCCAAGGCCAAGGAGGAGAAGGCCAAGCCGGAGGUCAAGGCCAAGGUGAAGAAGGCCAAGGCGAAGGAGGCCAAGCCGGAGGUCGAGGCCAAGUCAAAGGAGGUCAAGGCCAAGGUGGAGUUGAGGACCCUCACCAAGGAGGAGGAGGAGGCGCUCAUCAAGUUCGUGGCGCUGCUGGAGAAGGAGGAGGACUUCCUCGACGCCAAGGCGGAGGCGGAGAAGGAGGCGGAGAAGUGUGGCUCCAAGAGGAAGGUGGAGUUGGAGCGGGAUGAGGAGGGGGCAGCGUUCCUGGCGUGGAUCGAGUCCACCAAGCCACAGACGGACCAAGUGGAUUACUCGGAUGGGGAUGUGUCGGACGGCUACCACUCGCAGGACGACAACAUCGGCAGCGACGGCAGGGUCAUGUCGCGGUAUGAGCGCCAUGUUCAGGCCAACAACGCUCGCUGUCCUUUCUUGGUGGGGGCCUAA
rnacentral:rRNA from 1 species